AUGGCUUCAUCCGGUUCCACGACAAGGCCGCUGUGCGCUGACCAAUAGGACAUGCCAAACAAGUGGGAGGAGGCAAGGUUAGACAAGACAAAGGAGAAGGAAGUGAAAACCCCAUCAUGUUGGUGAGGAGAUGAGUGCAAGGUGAAGGUCUCCACUGACCGGAAGAAGUCAUGGACAGAAGGAAGAAGAUUUUUUAUGUGUCCCAACUAUGCACAUGAUCGUGCACGUCCAACUAACGUCUAUGACAUCCCAUCGGUAUGUUAG
rnacentral:rRNA from 1 species